rnacentral:rRNA from 1 species
GAAGGAUCAUUAUCGAAUGAAUUUGAACAGGCUGUUGCUGGCUUCUUCCAGAGCAUGUGCACGCUUGUCAUCUCUCAUGUUUCCAACUGUGCACACACUGUAGAUUCUGGUGGUAAUUUAUUGCAAAUAGAUUGAGGAUUUGCCAUGUCUGGCUUUCCUUGUCCCCCCCCCUGGUCUAUGUUUUAUUUUUUCACAAUAUGGUAUUAGAAUGUGGGCAACAAUUGUAAUUUUAUACAACUUUCAGCAACGGAUCUCUUGGCUCUCGCAUCGAUGAAGAACGCAGCGAAAUGCGAUAAGUAAUGUGAAUUGCAGAAUUCAGUGAAUCAUCGAAUCUUUGAACGCAUCUUGCGCUCCUUGGUAUUCCGAGGAGCAUGCCUGUUUGAGUGUCAUCAAGUUCUCAAACUGCAUCCAUUGAAGGGUGUGGAUUUGGAUUAUGGAGUUUGCAGGCUCUUUGAUUGAGGUCUGCUCCUCUGAAACGUAUUAGUGGCGAUGUGGAAAAAGCUACUGUGGGUGUGAUAAAUCAUCUAUGCCUAUGCAGUGUUCUGCUA